AGGGUGCAGGGCGGAUGCCUUGGCACUAGGAGCCGAUGAAGGACGUGAUAAGCUGCGAUAAGCUUCGGGGAGUUGCACGUAAACUUUGAUCCGAAGAUUUCCGAAUGAGGAAACUCACUUAGAGUAAUGUCUAAGUAUCAUUAAGUGAAUACAUAGCUUAAUGAGGGGAACUCAGGGAACUGAAACAUCUAAGUACCUGAAGGAAGAGAAAGAAAUUCGAUUCCGUAAGUAGCGGCGAGCGAACGCGGAUUAGCCCAAACCAAUAAAGUUUUCUUUAUUGGGGUUGCGGACAUAUCAUAACGAAGAGGUAUCGUAAUUGAAGAGGUUUGGAAAGACCCACCACAGAAGGUAAUAGUCCUGUAUGUUAAACGAGAAGACUUUAGAUAUGAUCCAGAGUACCACGGGACACGUGAAACCCUGUGGGAAGCAGGAGGGACCACCCUCCAAGGCUAAAUACUACCUAGUGACCGAUAGCGUAUAGUACCGUGAGGAAAAGGUGAAAAGAACCCCGGGAGGGGAGUGAAAUAGAACCUGAAACCCUGCACUUACAAGCUGUGGAAGCACAUUUCUUGUGUGACCGCGUACUUUUUGUAGAACGGGCCAACGAGUUACGUUAAGUAGCAAGGUUAAGCACUUAAGGUGUGGAGCCGUAGCGAAAGCGAGUUUUAACUGAGCGUUCAGUUACUUGACGUAGACCCGAAACCGGGCGACCUACCCAUGAGCAGGAUGAAGCGAAAGUAAAAUUUCGUGGAGGUCCGAACCCACGAGCGUUGAAAAGCUCGGGGAUGACUUGUGGGUAGCGGUGAAAUUCCAAUCGAGCCCGGAGAUAGCUGGUUCUCCCCGAAAUAGCUUUAGGGCUAGCCUCAAGGUGAGAGAUACGGAGGUAGAGCACUGAAUGUCCUAGGGGGUAUUGCACCUACCGAAGACUAUCAAACUCCGAAUGCCGUCAUCUUAUACUUGGGAGUCAGACUGUGGGUGAUAAGAUUCAUAGUCGAAAGGGCAACAGCCCAGAUCGUCAGCUAAGGUCCCUAAAUGUAAGUUAAGUGGUAAAGGAUGUGGGAUUGCACAGACAACCAGGAUGUUGGCUUAGAAGCAGCCACUCAUUCAAAGAGUGCGUAAUAGCUCACUGGUCGAGUGAUCCUGCGCCGAAGAUUUCCGGGGCUAAAACUUACUACCGAAGCUACGGCAUCAGUAAUGAUGGGUAGGGGAGCUUCCCAUACGGGUUGAAGCAUGACCGUAAGGACAUGUGGACAGUAUGGGAGUGAGAAUGUUGGCAUGAGUAGCGAGAUGUGGGUGAGAAUCCCACAGGCCGUAAACCCAAGGUUUCCAGGGGAAGGUUCGUCCGCCCUGGGUUAGUCGGGACCUAAGCUGAGGCCGAAAGGCGUAGGUGAUGGACAACAGGUUGAUAUUCCUGUACUACCGAUAACCGUUUGAGAGAAGGGAUGACACAGUAGGAUAAGCUAAGCACACUGUUGGUUAUGUGUGCCCAAGCAUUGAGGCAGUCAAAGUAGGCAAAUCCGCUUUGAUAAUGCUAGGAUGUGAUGGGGAGCGAAAUUUAGUAGCGAAGUAGCUGAUUUCACACUGUCAAGAAAAGUCUCUAUCGAGGUUAAAGGUACCCGUACCGCAAACCGACACAGGUGGGUGAGGAGAGUAUCCUAAGGCCAGCGAGAGAACUGUUGUUAAGGAACUCGGCAAAAUGACCCCGUAACUUAGGGAUAAGGGGUGCCACCAUCAGGUGGCCGCAGAGAAUAGGCCCAAGCGACUGUUUACCAAAAACAUAGGUUUCUGCUAAGUCGCAAGACGAUGUAUAGGAGCUGACGCCUGCCCGGUGCUGGAAGGUUAAGGGGAUCUGUUAGAGCAAUCGAAGCAGUGAACUUAAGCCCCAGUAAACGGCGGCCGUAACUAUAACGGUCCUAAGGUAGCGAAAUUCCUUGUCGGGUAAGUUCCGACCCGCACGAAAGGCGUAACGAUUUGGGCACUGUCUCAACAACAGACUCGGUGAAAUUGUAAUUCCGGUGAAGAUGCCGGAUACCUGCGACAGGACGGAAAGACCCCAUGGAGCUUUACUGUAGCUUGACAUUGGGUCUUGGUACUACAUGUACAGGAUAGGUGGGAGGCUUUGAAACCAGGACGCCAGUUUUGGCGGAGCCAUCCUUGGGAUACCACCCUUGUAGUACUGGGACUCUAACCAUAGGCCAUGAAUCUGGUCUUGGGACACUGUCAGGUGGGCAGUUUGACUGGGGCGGUCGCCUCCCAAAAGGUAACGGAGGCGCUCAAAGGUUCUCUCAGUACGGUCGGAAAUCGUACGUAGAGUGUAAAGGCAAAAGAGAGCUUGAUUGCAAGACAUACAGGUCGAGCAAGGAUGAAAAUCGGACUUAGUGAUCCGGUGGUUCUGCGUGGAAGGGCCAUCGCUCAACGGAUAAAAGCUACCCUGGGGAUAACAGGCUUAUCUCCCCCAAGAGUCCACAUCGACGGGGAGGUUUGGCACCUCGAUGUCGGCUCAUCACAUCCUGGGGCUGUAGUAGGUCCCAAGGGUUGGGCUGUUCGCCCAUUAAAGUGGUACGCGAGCUGGGUUCAGAACGUCGUGAGACAGUUCGGUCCCUAUCCGUCGCAGGCGUAGGAAAUUUGAGAAGACCUGUCCUUAGUACGAGAGGACCGGGAUGGACGUACCUCUGGUGUACCAGUUGUCCUGCCAAGGGCAUGGCUGGGUAGCUAUGUACGGAAUGGAUAAGCGCUGAAAGCAUCUAAGCGCGAAGCCAACUUCAAGAUAAGAUUUCCCACCGCAAGGGUAAGACCCCAGAAAGACUAUCUGGUUGA
rnacentral:rRNA from 1 species